rnacentral:misc_RNA from 1 species
AGUUUAUCAACUGUUAGAUUAAAUUUUUGUAUUUAGAUUCGUAUACUCUCUAUGUACACUUUAAUUAAUUCUGCACAUAUUUCAAUGCAAAUAUCUAAUCUAAUGAUUGUUAAGCUCGUUCUCAUAUGGGCUUGAGCUUAUAUUUUAUACACCCUCUAAAAUAUUUCCUCUCUCAAGUGCAACCCUUCUUCAGAUUAAGACCAUUAAUGAGGUAAUUCAAGAUUUUCUUGGAAGUACCUUUCCUAUUUCAUGGAGAAGUCAAAAUAUCUCCUUUACAACAUAGUAACAAUGUUGAAACAAAGCCAUUGCUGUCACAUGGACACUUUCCUGUUAUGGUCUUAGUUUAAUAGAAGAUUCUAUUUUUAUUUUUCUUUUAAUUUGUUUUUCUUUAUCUUCUAUCAGGAUGAGAAGGAGAAGAAAAUUCG